CUUCAGCGAACCCAGGUACAGGGGCCUUUCACGGUCCUGUCCGUACGUGGCGAGCACGGCCUGCGCCUC
rnacentral:antisense_RNA from 1 species